CAAAUGGAGCAGAGGAGAGAGAGGCAGAGAAUUGAGAGAACAGAGAGAGCAGCAAGGAGAGAUCAUACGCAGAGAAAAUGCCUCUCAUCUGCUCGACAUAAUGCCCUCACUACCAACACUAACACUGACAUUAUUAGCACCCUACCGGACACUCUCCUCUCUCACAUCCUCUCUUUUCUCCCAAUCCAAGACUCCGUCGCAACAAGCAUUUUAUCGAACAGGUGGAGGUCUCUCUGGACUCUCGUCCCUAUUCUUUGCUUGGACCAGAGAGAACUUACAAAUAAGGAGGAGGGUGAUCAAAAGUUGAGGUUUGUGGAUAUAGUGUUCAGAAUCUGGACUCUUCGAAACGCCAUUUCCAAUCCCACGCCCCUACGCAAAUUGUGCAUUUGUUGGCAUCACAAUUGUCUUCCCUUCUAUGUCGACGCAUGGCUCCGUGCCACCAAUCUGCGUGAUUUGCAACAGCUCUUUCUCUCAAUAUUGACUUCUUUUAAGACACCUUUCGAGUUGCCCCGUAGUCUCUACUUUUCUACAAAACUAGUGGUUCUGAAAUUUGCAGGUGAUGUUAAUCUAAAUCCUCCCCCUGCUUGUGCGUUCCCAUGUCUCAGGAUUCUAGGACUUAGAGGUGUUGUAUUUGCAAACCAAGACUCUCUCUCUACCUUCCUCACUGCCUGCCCGGUCCUCCACUAUUUUUCCCUCACAUUGUUUGGUAUAAAUUUGGAACAUUUGGAUGGGUUCAGUGUCACUGUACUCGUGCCUACGCUGAAAAUAUUAUAUUUAGAUUGGCAAGUUAGGUCUCCUUCCUACAAAUUCCAUAUAAACACCCCGGCUCUCGAGUACUUUUGUUUCACAGGUUUUUUGAACGGGGAUUAUGUGUUGGAAAACCUCCACAAUGUGGUCGAAUGUGUACUUCAAUUUGAGCAACGCACUUCGUUGAGUAUUGAAGAUUACGCGAAGAAAUCAUGGGACUUCAUGAGACCACUCUGUAAUGUUAUUUCCAUGGAAUUGAGCACAAUUACCGCACAGAUCCUCUGCUAUGAUUCUAAUCAUGAAGAUGGUCCCACAUUUUAUAAUUUGUCCUCCUUGAAAUUUUUUGGUGGCAUUUCGUCUGAGUGGUAUGCGUGGGAUGGAGUGCGACUCAUGCUUUAUCGGGCUCCAAAGCUACAAACACUUUCGUUUGAAAAGGCACACUUGCUUGGUUCAAAUCUUAGACCUAAACGCUUGGAGGAGCCACUGGAUGUUCCUGAAUGUCUGUCAUCACACCUUACUACCUGUCAUUAUAAAGGAUUUGAUGGGAAAGAGGAAGAGAUGGAACUUGUUAGACAAAUCCUGAAGACAGCGAAAGUAUUAAAGUCAAUGAAAAUCACUGUUAAUGGUUAUCUAGACUCAAAGAAGCUUCGUGUUUGCAAGGAAUUGAGGAAGUUUCAAAGGAGCUCUCAGGAUUGUGAAAUUGCAUUUGACGAAGGACGUUUCGCAUGAUGUGGCAUUUUAUCUCGCCCCUCUUGGAUAUUGCAUGUCACCUGCUUUGCUUUACUAUCUUUGUGUAAUUCAUUUGCUGCCUUUGCCAUGUCAGACUUUAUUCCUAUGAAAUUAGCACCAUGUGUGCUACUGGAAUGUUUGCUUGGCUGUUUGCACUUGAAGAAGCAAAGCUGUUAUUCCCAUCACUGAUUGUAGCAAUCAGGAUUAGAGAAAUGAAGAAUUGAUGUUAACUAGACUUGGUUACCAUAAGAAGCAAAGGUUUGGAACAAUUAUUCAUUGUACAUUUAUGCAUAUCUAG